GUGAAAAAUUUCUUGUGAGUAUUUGGGGACAAGCAGGCUGCCAGUUGAAUUAGUAAGUGUGAUUACCCAGGAAUCACAAAUGGCCUUAGGGGAGGAGACAAUGCUAUUUACAUCUCUGGUUUUCACUGGUGGGAAUUGAGUUGUGGGAAACAGUUUUGUGCAUUUUUGCCAUGCACAGACCAAUUUGGCUUCUCAGAUCAUGCCUAUAGAAGUUGUAGGGAUAUAAGAUGGCACACCACGAAACUCCAUUAGUCGCAAUUUGUCAAAUUCGUAUAUUGUGCGCUCCAUGUCUGUAGGAUCCUCAACAGAGAGUUUUGUGAGAAAAAAAGUCCAGUACUUUCUACUUACCGCACAGACCAUAUGUUGCCAGCCCUCC